rnacentral:rRNA from 1 species
AGCGAACGCUGGCGGCAGGCCUAACACAUGCAAGUCGAACGAACCUUUCGGGGUUAGUGGCGGACGGGUGAGUAACACGUGGGAACGUGCCUUUAAGUUCGGAAUAACUCAGGGAAACUUGUGCUAAUACCGAAUGUGCCCUUCGGGGGAAAGAUUUAUCGCCUUUAGAGCGGCCCGCGUCUGAUUAGCUAGUUGGUUGAGGUAAUGGCUCACCAAGGCGACGAUCAGUAGCUGGUCUAAGAGGAUGAUCAGCCACAUUGGGACUGAGACACGGCCCAAACUCCUACGGGAGGCAGCAGUGGGGAAUCUUGCGCAAUGGGCGAAAGCCUGACGCAGCCAUGCCGCGUGAAUGAUGAAGGUCUUAGGAUUGUAAAAUUCUUUCACCGGGGACGAUAAUGACGGUACCCGGAGAAGAAGCCCCGGCUAACUUCGUG